UCUAGCAUGUGCGCGAGUCAUUGGGACUCGACUAAACCCACAGGCGCAAUGAAAGUGAAGGUUCGCCUCGCGCGAACCGAGGGAGGAUGGGUCCGUCNCUCGGACGGCCGCCCCGCACUCCCGGGGCGUCUCGUUCUCAUCGCGAGAAGAGGCGCACCCAGAGCGUACACGCUGGGACCCGAAAGAUGGUGAACUAUGCCUGGUCAGGACGAAGUCAGGGGAAACCCUGAUGGAGGUCCGUAGCGAUUCUGACGUGCAAAUCGAUCGUCGGAACUGGGUAUAGG
rnacentral:rRNA from 1 species